rnacentral:rRNA from 1 species
GCCCGCUCAGAAACUACAAGGAAGUUGACGGGGGCCCGCGACAAGCGGUGGAGCAUGUGGUUUAAUUCGAAGCAACGCGAAGAACCUUACCAGGCCUUGACAUGCAGAGAACUUUCCAGAGAUGGAUUGGUGCCUUCGGGAACUCUGACACAGGUGCUGCAUGGCUGUCGUCAACUCGUGUCGUGAGAUGUUGGGUUAAGUCCCGUAACGAGCGCAACCCUUGUCCUUAGUUACCAGCACGUUAUGGUGGGCACUCUAAGGAGACUGCCGGUGACAAGCCGGAGGAAGGUGGGGACGACGUCAAGUCAUCAUGGCCCUUAUGUCCAGGGCGACACACGUGCUACAAUGGCCGGCACAGCGGGAAGCGAAGGGGCGACUCUGAGCGGAUCCCUUAAAGCCGGUCCCAGUUCGGAUUGCAGUCUGCAACUCGACUGCAUGAAGUUGGAAUCGCUAGUAAUCGUGGAUCAGCCAAGCCGCGGUGAAUACGUUCCCGGGCCUU